CUACUGGGGUAUCUAAUCCUGUUUGCUACCCACGCUUUCGAGCCUCAGCGUCAAUAUUGGCCCAGAAGACUGCCUUCGCCAUUGGUGUUCCUCCACAUAUCUACGCAUUUCACCGCUACACGUGGAAUUCCGUCUUCCUCUACCAUAUUCUAGUCACGCAGUUUCGGAUGCCAUUCCCAGGUUGAGCCCGGGGCUUUCACACCCGACACACGCGACCGCCUGCACUCGCUUUACGCCCAGUAAUUCCGAUUAACGCUUGCACCCUCCGUAUUACCGCGGCUGCUGGCAC
rnacentral:rRNA from 1 species